rnacentral:rRNA from 1 species
UAGAGUUUGAUCAUGGCUCAGGAUGAACGCUAGCGGCAGGCUUAACACAUGCAAGUCGAGGGGCAGCGGGGAGGUAGCAAUACUUCCGCCGGCGACCGGCGCACGGGUGAGUAGCACGUAUGGAACCUGCCCGUAGCAGGGGGAUAAGCGGAAGAAAUUCCGUCUAAUACCGCGUAAUAACUCCGAGAGGCAUCUCAUGGGGUUUAAAGGGUGACACCGGCUACGGAUGGCCAUGCGGCGCAUUAGCUAGUUGGCGGGGUAACGGCCCACCAAGGCGACGAUGCGUAGGGGUUCUGAGAGGAAGGUCCCCCACACUGGUACUGAGACACGGACCAGACUCCUACGGGAGGCAGCAGUGAGGAAUAUUGGUCAAUGGGCGCGAGCCUGAACCAGCCAAGUCGCGUGAGGGAAGACGGUCCUAUGGAUUGUAAACCUCUUUUGUCGGGGAGCAAAAGACGCCACGUGUGGCGUUCCGAGAGUACCCGAAGAAAAAGCAUCGGCUAACUCCGUGCCAGCAGCCGCGGUAAUACGGAGGAUGCGAGCGUUAUCCGGAUUUAUUGGGUUUAAAGGGUGCGCAGGCGGAUUUUUAAGUCAGCGGUCAAAUCGUGGGGCUCAACCCCAUCCAGCCGUUGAAACUGGGGAUCUAGAGUGUGCGAGAGGUAUGCGGAAUGCGUGGUGUAGCGGUGAAAUGCAUAGAUAUCACGCAGAACCCCGAUUGCGAAGGCAGCAUACCGGUGCACAACUGACGCUCAGGCACGAAAGCGUGGGUAUCGAACAGGAUUAGAUACCCUGGUAGUCCACGCAGUAAACGAUGAAUGCUACCUGUUUGGCCAGAUUGAUGGCUGAGCGGGACAGCGAAAGCGUUAAGCAUUCCACCUGGGGAGUACGCCGGCAACGGUG